rnacentral:RNase_P_RNA from 1 species
GCGCGGUGGCGGGCGGCGGCGCGAUAAUUCGCGAGGAAAGUCCGGGCUACAGCCAAAUAGAGUUCCGCCUAACGGGCGGCUGGGGCAACCCAAGGGAAUAGCGCAACAGAAAGCAAACCGCCGCUUUUGCGGUAAGGGUGAAACGGCGCGGUAAGAGCGCGCCAGUGGUCUUGGCAACAGGGUCAGCUGGGCAAGCCCAACUUGUAGCAAGAAGCGUCAGGUUAAAUUUUGGCAUAUUUCAGCGCUUUGCUUUGAACCGCUUGGCGACAAGCGCGUCAGAUAAAUCGCCGUCCUCGACAGAACCCGGCUUACAGCCACCGCGUUUAG